rnacentral:rRNA from 1 species
GACAGCAGUCGCCGCGGUAAUACGAAGGGUGCAAGCGUUACUCGGAAUUACUGGGCGUAAAGCGUGCGUAGGUGGUGGUUUAAGUCCGUUGUGAAAGCCCUGGGCUCAACCUGGGAAUUGCAGUGGAUACUGGGUCACUAGAGUGUGGUAGAGGAUAGUGGAAUUUCCGGUGUAGCAGUGAAAUGCGUAGAGAUCGGAAGGAACAUCUGUGGCGAAGGCGACUAUCUGGGCCAACACUGACACUGAGGCACGAAAGCGUGGGGAGCAAACAGGAUUAGAUACCCGAGUAGUCCCUGUCUCUAUACA